UUUUUUAAAUAAAGAGAAAAUCAUAAGAAAAUUAGUCAAAUUUAGCUUUAAAAUCAAAAGAAGAAAAAAAUAGAGAAAUUUGUGAAUUAUGCCAUGUACAGUAACAAAGUUUCUACUCAUUGCCAUUUGUUUCUUUACCUUCUCCCGCCUGCCACAACGCAUUGUAUAAAAGACGAUUAUACCCUCUUGCUAAUAAACUCUGCAAAUUGAAAGUGACCUUUCAGGCUUUCAUACUUUUUUUCUUUUUUCUUUUUUCUCGUAUGUCUCUUUCUCUCUCUCUCUUUCCUCUGUCUUUUUUUUUUGUUCUUUCAUUUUGUUCUUUCUUUCUCCAGUAACAAACCAAGAGAUUUCUAAUUCCACCAGCAUUAACUCUAACAAAAAGAUAUCAAUCAGCUCUACAGAUGUUGUCUAGAAGUUGUCUGUUGCAUCUCUAAUGGGUCAAUUCGAUGGACCAGAUCUGGUAUAUCAGAUCCGGUGGACCAUGUUCAGUGAACCAGUUCGUGAGAUCUUUUUCACCCAUGUUUUCUCCUACAAAGGGAUCUCAAUCAGCUUUGCAGAUGCUCCCUAGAGAUUAGGUGUUCUAUUUCUGACGAACCAAUUCCGAUGGACCAGAUCUGGUAGACAAUAUCCAGUGAACCAGUUUCGGUGGACCAAACUUGUCUACUUUUACUAAGUAAUCGUGUCCAUCACGUAGAUCUUCUAAAGCCAUAAGCGAAUUACCAGAUGAUUACACAAGUGAUGCGUCAAUGAAAGAUAUCAUCUAAGAUCCAUGUAUAAUUACACUCUUAACCACACAUUUAUCUAUAGAUGGACCAGAUCUCGUGGACUAGAUUCGGUGGACCAAAUCUUGUGGGCUAGAUCCAGUAAACCAGAUCCGAUGUCUGUAAUAUGUCCAUAUUUUGUUCCCUAACUUGUUGUUCCAUUUUUUAUAAACUAACUUGUCUAUAAUACAUAUGUUAGUGUGGUAAUAAUGCUGGGUAGUGAAAAAGAACAACCAAUAAUGAUGGAUGAUACAUGUAUUUAUAUUGUCUGCGUAAUUAAUGAUGGACCAGAUCUACUGCACCAAACAUGGCCAUCAAGACAGUUGUCCAUAUCUUCUUCUAACUCAAUUCUUUGUGUUUGUCCUUCACCAGUUUAAGAAAGCCUAGGCAAACCUUGUGUGAGUAAAAAGCCUACUAACUACACGUGAGAGGACAUGCAGCGGAGUUAUUCUUCGGAAUCUAUCAAAAUAAGGUUUUGAUAGACCAGUCUACUACUUACUCGUCCGCCAUUUUUGACAUCAUUUUAUAGAUUGUCUAUCGACUAUAGUGCACACAUCGAUAGGCAAGUGGACAUCCCUACACAUCUAAGCUUAUUUAUUUGAUGGACAACUCAUAUAAAAUCUCUAGGUUACUUGUCCUCUAUUAACACAUAUUAUAUCUGGUU
rnacentral:lncRNA from 1 species